UUAAUGCAACGUUCUCCGUUUAUUCAAGAUCAGGCGGUAGUUUAUAUAAGCUUCCACAUAGUUUACAGAAACAAAGACACUCUGAUUGGUAGGCUAACAUUGUUUACCUUUUCCUUAAAACGGCCUACACUUUACACCAUAAAACCUAUACUAGUUCACACCCAGUGGUCCCCACAACACCUUAAGACUAUUUUCUAUCUGCGCCACAAGCUCUGAAUUUCUAACUGCGUCAGAGGCUUUGAAGGCCCCACCAGGCCUCAAUCUGAGGCCUAGACUGGAGUAGCUCAACUUUCACAAUUCAUGCCCUCUUUCUCUCAAAAAUGCUGCAACAAUUCCCUCUUUUUCUUUUGAGCUACUCAGGCUGGAGUGAAGGCGCAAUGAACUAAUUUUUGCACACACUUCUUUGACCCAGCCAGAAAAACCUAAAGAAUUGAGCCAGUUAUCAAAUGAAGUGUCCAUUUGGAGAACACUGCGUUUGGCUCGUUGAGUCUUCUGAGGCAAUUCGAGAACCUGCUGUAUGGUGGGAACAAAAAGCAUCAACCUACCGAUAUAACAUGGGCCUCCUCUAGCAUUUUGAGGGACUGCUGACCAGGCUCGGUCCCCACAAAUGAGGAAGGUUCCUGGGGGCAGUUUUCCUGCACUACCUCUUGGAGUCGAAUUGUUACAAUAUUCUAAAUAGUUGUAAUACAAUGGUGAUCUGGGAGACAACCAAGUGUCGUCAUCUGUCAAUUUUCCAUGUUCUUGAGUUGGUUUGGUAGCAUAAGAUCCAAAUAUCAAACAGUAAUUUCCUGGGACAGAACCCAAAAGACCAAAUUCUUGAAAACUGUCAUCAGUAAAUUUAAGGUUUUGCACAAAUGCAACAGCUUGCGCUCCCAGAGUGCUAUUUAAAUUUAUUUGAGCUCGGGUCCAAGUUUUGAACUCUGCAAUGGGACCCAACGAGACUCCAAUUAAACAAGUACGAAAUAAAAACAUUGAGGCCCACCACAUUCUUCUCAGGUUCUUGAAUGCCCUGUCUAACAUGAAAGAAACAAUCUUAAUUCUAAACAUAAACUAUAACUUCUAAUAAACUAACUUCUGAUAAAACUAACUUCACACUUAUAAUAUUUCAACUUAUUUUUCUGUACUCUACAAAAUUAAUUUUCAUCAGAACUGGAUUCAUCAGGGAUGUUCCAGGCAAACUGUUGUUGUUCACGUUGUUAUCACUGCGGGUUGAUAUCUUUUUCAUCUAUUUUUAAAAUUCUGUUUCUGCCUUUUCGUAUCAAUGCAGCAAGAGCAUCUGUCCUGCCCAGACGUCUUGGUCGGACGGGUAAAAACACUCACUCAAGUAGAAUUUCUGUUGAUCCACGUUGGGACCUCCCUCUUUUUCUUUUGCCAUUGAAAGACAAUGGCAAGAUGAACAGAAAAAUCACAGGCAUUACUAAAACUUAUUAAAACUUAGCAAAAAAAAAUUCUAUAACAUCAUUAAAAACACACUUAAAAAAAAACCUCAAAGCCCACGAUCUUUUGUGGGUGAAACACAAAUCUUUGCACAAUCCACUUUUGCUGUGCAUCCUCUGAUCCACUUGUGGAGAGAUCAGUGCCCUCUUGCAAUUGAUAAGUUCCACAUUCUUCACUGAAAUCCAUCUAGAUUCUGCACCUGUUAAAACACAAACAAACCCAACACCCCCACUGGGACUGGAGGGUCCUCUCUCAAUUCUGUUCCCUAAAACUUGCAUGAAGAAAUGGAAAUAUCAACAUCUUUGUUAUAAACAUGAAAAAACAUUAAGAACAAAACAAUGCACAUAGUAAAGAAACUAACAACAAAUAAAAAUCAAUCAAAUAAUACACAAUCAAUAUUACAUAUAAAAUCACAGUUAUCAAGUGCUACACUAUCAAAUUGUCAUCCCAGAGUCUGCAGCAGCUGAAAAACCUUAAAACAACAGAGAUUUGGAUAAAACAUGUCCGGAUCAUGUUUCUCCAAACUCCCUUUGAGGCUCAGCUGUCCUGUAUGGUCAAAUUGUCAAGCCAAAAGGACUUGAAUACUUUUUUGAUGCAGAAAACACCUGGAUCAAUCACACCAUCCACGUAGAGCCAGAGCCUGGCCAGAGCUCGAACUCUAAUUGGAGGAUAUGUUUAAAACAAAAGUCUUAAAAAUAACAGUUAUAAGUGAAAAACCUUAUUAUUAACAAUUUAUCAAAACAUCAAAUAAUUGAACCUGUUUAAAAUUUCUUUUUAAAACAAAAAUUCUCUAAAUACAACAAACCUUUUCUUCAAAAAUCUGAAAAUUUGAAGUCUGAAAUCUUGAACCAGAACUUGGACUAUAAAUUUUUAAAAGAAGGUGAACUGCAGCUGCAUAGAAGAUUGAAUAAAGAAAACACAUGAGUAGUUAAAAAAUCAAACACACAGGAUCCUGAAAAAUACAUCUUACAAUCAAGCACCUAAAAAAAAAAAAAUAAAACAUAUGAAAACUGACUAUAAAUAUUAAAACAACACCUCAAUACCUUAACAUCUUAAUAAUAAUUCUUAUCACAAAAAUCAGACAACUUACAUUAUAUGAUCAGCUUAUCAACAAGAAAUGUUUAAAAUAGUUUAAAACAAUCUUGUCAAAGCAUUCAUAUAACAUUAGUAACAAUCACUACUUAUC
rnacentral:lncRNA from 1 species